rnacentral:rRNA from 1 species
GCGGAGGGAUCAUUACUGAGUUUACGCUCUACAACCCUUUGUGAACAUACCUAUAACUGUUGCUUCGGCGGGUAGGGUCUCCGCGACCCUCCCGGCCUCCCGCCUCCGGGCGGGUCGGCGCCCGCCGGAGGAUAACCAAACUCUGAUUUAACGACGUUUCUUCUGAGUGGUACAAGCAAAUAAUCAAAACUUUUAACAACGGAUCUCUUGGUUCUGGCAUCGAUGAAGAACGCAGCGAAAUGCGAUAAGUAAUGUGAAUUGCAGAAUUCAGUGAAUCAUCGAAUCUUUGAACGCACAUUGCGCCCGCCAGCAUUCUGGCGGGCAUGCCUGUUCGAGCGUCAUUUCAACCCUCAAGCUCUGCUUGGUGUUGGGGCCCUACAGCUGAUGUAGGCCCUCAAAGGUAGUGGCGGACCCUCUCGGAGCCUCCUUUGCGUAGUAACUUUACGUCUCGCACUGGGAUCCGGAGGGACUCUUGCCGUAAAACCCCCAAUUUUCCAAAGGUUGACCUCGGAUCAGGUAGGAAUACCCGCUGAACUUAAGCAU